AAGUAGGCUAUUCUAUCAAUAUAAUUAGUAAUUAGUUCAGCCAAAAGCCUGUAUCUCACUAUCUCACUACUAAACUACAUAUAUAUUCCUCAAUUGCUGUUUCACAGCUGUUCUGCAAGCAUGGAGAGGAAUCAGUCUUCAUGUCAGUGAUAAUAGGAAAGGAAGAGACAUCCACAGCCACCCAUGAAAGAUUGGAAAUAUUAUAGACAGAAAAACUGCUGCCUAAUUUGAGAUGCUCAUAAUGUGAAUACCAGUGUAAAGAAAUAAUAGAGCUAACUCAAUACUUGAAAUCUUGAAUAUAGUACGUACUCUAUUAAAGUGAUGCUUUACACACAGUAAUAACCAAAGCACACAAACCUUUUUUGUCCAAAUUGUUGAACUACUGCAUGAGCUAUAUAUAUUCUCUUCGACUUUCUAUUGAGAUGAAACCACUAUGCA
rnacentral:misc_RNA from 1 species